rnacentral:lncRNA from 1 species
UGAAAUUUUAAUUUCAAUACUGUAUUGAAUACAUUUUUAAUUUCAAGUUGUUGUUCAAAUUUCAUUUUUAUUAAAAAAAUUCCUAAAUUGAUAAAAUUCAGUUAAUAGAUACAAAGAAUAGGUCUAGUUUGGUUAAGACUUGGUCGAGUAUGGUUCAGACUAGGUCGAGUAUGGUUCAGACUAGGUCGAGUACAGUUCAGACUAGGUCGAGUACGGUUCAGACUUGUAUAAAACGGUUAAGUACUGGUCAAGUACACAUUCAGACUGUUAAGUAUGGUUCAGACUACAGUCGAGUAUUAUCAAGUAAAUCUCAG